rnacentral:rRNA from 1 species
AGAGUUUGAUCCUGGCUCAGAACGAACGCUGGCGGCAUGCCUAACACAUGCAAGUCGAACGCUUGGUCCUGGUUCGCUGGGGCCAAGAGUGGCGCACGGGUGAGUAGCGCGUGGGAACCUGCCCAGAAGUGGGGGAUAACCGAGGGAAACUUCGGCUAAUACCGCAUACGCCCGAGGCAACUCGGGGAAAGAUUUAUCGC